UGGCCGUCUUCCCGGCGGGUCUUGGAUGUUGGGCAACGGCUGAGAGGGCGUCGUCAGCGUGUCCGCGCCCGCGGCUUUCUCCGGGCUCUCCGCAGGCGUCGUGCCCGCAUUCGUCACGCGUGGUGGCUCUCAGGGGCGCACCGCACAGGCCCUUGCCGGGCGCUGGGAGGGCGGGGCCCUACACCAGCGACAGCCUUAAAGGAAAACGUGUUAGGGACAAGGGCUGCCGUGGGCAGCGAGGGUUGCAGACUCAUUUGUGUUCUGAAUUCUGGUGGGGGUAGUGAGGGAUGCUGCCCCAGUUCACAGAAUUAUCUGACUGGGGAGGUAAAGGUACUUGAAUUGCAGGUACUGUUUUUGGCCCUGUGUCCCCUUUAUUUUGGCCCAGUGUGCUUCCGUUUGAGUAGUCUGUAGUGGAACUAUUUUUUUUUUUUCCCCAAAAAACAGUUAUUUGAAAACACGUGAUGGAGCAGAAUGAAAGUAGUAAGGAGGAAUUCCUGGGAAUUUGCCUUUUUUUUUUUUUUCCUUUCUUAACCUUAAGGAGUUUCCACUUGUCGAUUGUGGCAAAAGAAGAGGUAUGGGAGACCUCACCUACAACAUGAAAAAUCACCUUUUCUAUUUGUUUUUCUGUUCGCUGGUGUGAGUAAAAUACCAAAUGAAAAUAAAAAGGUGAGGCCUAACAUAAGUUUAUUCCACAUGCCAGUUUACUGUUGGAAAUACUAGAGGCAAAACGUGCAUGGCUUGGAAUGUGUGAAGGCCCCGUGAUGUGCCUAAUAAUAAUCCUGUCCAUUUUGAGCAGGAAAAAAAAUCAAGGUGAACUGAAGAAAAUAAGUUCCCAAAGCAGGCAGAAGAUGGGGAAGAUGAGAUGUCAGAAGCUAAGGACAAUAGCAGUAGAGAUGAGAUGGGACUGUCUAGUUGCAGGAAAACAAGCUCAAGGCACCCACUGAUUCUACAUUAUGGUUCUUGUCCCUCGUAAGAGUUGUGGGAGGAAUACUACUGCCCCAGGAAAGAAAGGAGGGGAGGAAAAGUCUCUGGCUCCUGUGUUUUCUGAGAAGUUAAUAUCACCAAGCAAGAGGGGAGCCAAGCUCAAGGACCAUAAGAGCCACCAGGAGAAUGACGACCGGAACAGUGAAUUGGACCAGGAUGAGGAAGGAGAUUUGGUUAUGUGAAUUUUAAAUCUGCUGAUGAUCAAGAAAAGGCCCUGGAACUAAGUGAUACAAAAGUCCUUGGGUUUGAAAUUAAAUUUAAGAAACCAAAGAGAAAGGAAACAAAGGUAUGCAAACAAGGUAAUUUGUUCAAAGAUAUCGAUGUAUCUAGAAGAUUCUGGGUCAGGCAGGAAUAUCACAUUCUUCCUAAUUUGAUGCAAGUAGUCCUCAGUUUCCGACAGGCCACCUGCCUCCAUGGCACCUUGCCCUCUCUCCUGUGCUCGAGCUGCAUGGCUCACCUUUCUCUGUCAUAACAUUCUUUCCAGGACUCAGUCCCUGGCUACUUGAAACCCAUCCAUCCAGUUUCAGCUUAAAUAUAACUUCCUCAGAUCCGAAAACUCUUUCCUUACACCCACACUAGAGUAAGUCUUCUCUACUGCACUUCCUCAUUGCCCCUGUUACUUGUCCAUCCUGGCACUUGUCAAAGUUUAUAAUUACGUGACUCUUCAUUUACCAGUCCUCUCCAACAAGAACGCAUGCCUGAGAGCAGAGGCCAAGUUCGUGUUUCACAGCGAGCAUGUAGCACAGGCCCUAGCCCAGAAUCAAAAUGCCAAAACACUUUUGCUCAAGAACCUGCCUGACAAAGUCAUUCUACAUGAAACACUUCUUGUGUUUGAGGAUGCUUUUCAAAUCAGAUUAGUGAGCAAAGAUGGGAUGAGUAAAAGGUAUGUUUUACACCUUGUACUGAAUAAGAAUGUAUGUCUGCUGGAUACAAAAUAAUGGAAUUUCUUUACAUUCUCUCAAAUCUCUUAUGCCUGAUUGUAGAGAAGGAAAGAGUAGUAAUCCAGAUUUCUGCCAGUAGGCAUACAAAGCCAAAGGAGACAUCAUAAAGGGACAGCCAAAACUCCUAGAAAACUGUAGUGGUGCUAUAGAGAAAUAGAAACUUAAUCUGCUACCAAGUACAAGAUUGAAGAUUGGAAUUUAUUCAUAGAUUGUGUACAUUCAUUCUUCUCUCUCCAGGGCUGACUCUGCUAGAAUAAUGUACUUGGUAGCUUGCUUGGACAGGUACCAAAAUAGAACAUAGAAUUGAAUUGUUAGCUUUAUGUUGUAACCAAUUAAUGAAACACUGUCCUUAGGUAUCUAGGCUUUGGUAGAGUAAGAGAGUGAAUAUGGUGAUAUUAGAGAGGGUGGAGUAUAAUAUAUUUUGAAGGGAUUGUCAUUGAGGCGAAAAUUGAAUAUUGGGUUUAUAGAUACAUUUGAGCUAAAUGUGUUGGUGUAGGUGAACUCUAAAAUAAUCUGUAGCAGUAUGUUCUGAUGAACGUAAUCUCUAGAAAGAAUACUACAGAUCUAACAAGCAUAAGCUAGAACUAUAUAUAUUGACCUGGAAAGCCAUGAUAAAUACAGGAAAACAAAUCUGAAAGAAUAAAUUCCAAAUUAUUAGCAGUGUUUACCAGGAGGAGAUUUGGGAGCACUCUGCGUAUAGUCUCCAGAAAACAAGCAAACAAAUUCCUGCCAAAAGUUAUAUAAUUUCUCGAAGUUUAAUUAGGUUUUAAUUAAAUAUACUUAAAUCUUUAUAAUCAUUUCUCUACCUGAAGAAUUAUCGUAUCACUUCUCAGCCUUUUGGCUAAGAUCAAGUGUAGUAUCUGUUUUCUCAGUUUAAUAUCUGAUAUGUCCUAAAUUAAAAAUAAUAAAAAAGAAUGAUUGUAAAGGGGAGAUACGAGAAA